rfam:TPA: Bos taurus chromosome 8, whole genome shotgun sequence.
UCCCUGGUGGUUCAGACGGUAAAAACAUCUGCCUACAAUGCAGGAGACCUGGGUUCGAUCCCUGGGUUGGGAA